GACGAACGCUGGCGGCGUGCUUAACACAUGCAAGUCGAACGAAGUGGCGAACGGGUGAGUAAUACGUGGGUAACCUGCCCUCCUUUUUGGGAUAAGCCUUGGAAACGGGGUCUAAUACCGAGUAGAGGGGGAUGGGCUCGCGGCCUAUCAGCUUGUUGGUGGGGUGAUGGCCUACCAAGGCGGUGACGGGUAGCCGGCCUGAGGGGGUGACCGGCCACAUUGGGACUGAGGUACGGCCCAGACUCCUACGGGAGGCAGCAGUGGGGGAUAUGGCACAAUGGGCGGAAGCCUGAUGCAGCGACGCCGCGUGGGGGAUGACGGCCUUCGGGUUGUAAACUCCUUUCACCAUCGACGCGGUAGAUGGAGAAGAAGCACCGGCUAACUACGUGCCAGCAGCCGCGGUAAUUC
rnacentral:rRNA from 1 species